UACAGAGGGCGCGAGCGUUGUCCGGAAUCACUGGGCGUAAAGGGCGCGUAGGUGGCCACCAUAAGGCCGCGGUGAAAGUUCGGGGCUCAACCCCGGAUCGGCCGCGGCGACUGUGGGGCUGGGGUACUGUAGAGGCAGGUGGAAUUCCGGGUGUAGCGGUGGAAUGCGUAGAGAUCCGGAAGAACACCAGUGGCGAAGGCGACUUCCUGGCCUGUUCUUGACGCUGAGGCGCGAAAGCUAGGGGAGCAAACGGG
rnacentral:rRNA from 1 species